rnacentral:tRNA from 1 species
GCUGGUUUUGGCUCAGUGGUUAGAGCAUCGGCCUGGGGAUCGGGGGUCCCGGGUUCGAGUCCCAGUCCAGCG